rnacentral:lncRNA from 1 species
UGGGGCGGAGGGGGCUCGACUUCGUGUGAGUAGGGCUGGCCGGCAGGAACUGUUGUCUUUGCCGGCCGCCGCGAGUACAGGUGAAGGGGAACUGCGAAGUCUUUUUGCGGGUGAGGAGCUUAGGAUAAUGUUAUUUAAUUAUAGAGAGAUGGGAAUUAUUCCUAAGGUUGAGCCGAAGUAGAGUGUGGUGCCCUCGCUUGUAUAUGUGUGAAGGCUUGUGUGAUGAAGUUGUGUGCCCUCGCUUGUCUAUGCCUACGAAGGCGUUGUGUACAUUGUCUGGUGUGUUUUGUUAUGCUGUGCUGGUGCAAUUAUAGUCGGUCUUGGCGCGGACGGUUUGAUGUUGUCGUUUCUGCAUUUGUUGUGCUAGUCCGGCUGCACCCUUAGGCGACUUCUGCGCGGACAGUCUUCGCGGUAGACUUUGGUUUUUUCGCACUUGUUGUGCUAGUCCGGCUGCACCCUUAGGCGACUUCUGCGCGGAUAGUCUUCGCGAUAGACUUCGGUUUCUUCGCACUUUGUUGUGCUAGUCCGGCUGCACCCUUAGGCGACUUCUGCGCGGAUAGUCUUCGCGAUAGACUUCGGUUUUUUCGCACUUGUUGUGCUAGUCCGGCUGCACCCUUAGGCGACUUCUGCGCGGAUAGUCUUCGCGGUAGACUUCGGUUUUUUCGCACUUGUUGUGCUAGUCCGGCUGCACCCUUAGGCGACUUCUGCGCGGAUAGUCUUCGCGGUAGACUUCGGUUUUUUCGCACUUGUUGUGCUAGUCUGGUGCACCCUUAGGCGACUUCUGUGCGGAUAGUCUUCGUGAUAGACUUCGGUUUUUUCGCACUUGUUGUGCUAGUCCGGCUGCACCCUUAGGCGACUUCUGCGCGGAUUUGUCGCACGUGAGGGUGGCUAGCGCUUAGCCUCGCGGUGACCUCGUAUUGGUCGAAUGUCGAAGACCGUCGUCGCGGUCUUUUUUCGACGCAUGUUUUUGCGGGGGAUUGUUUUUGCGAAUUACAAGGGCGAAAUCAGCCCUGAGAAGUCAAACAAAAAAUUUGCGGAGGUUGUCGAUGUUCCAGGAGUGCUCCAGGUCCUCGCCGUUUGGCGUUGUGAGCCUGUAGGCGCUGGGGGAAGCUUUUGUCUUGACUAUAAAGGGGCCCUCCCACUUGGGCUCCAGCUUGCCCUUGGACUCCGUCCGAGCCGUUCGGACGAGUACGAGGUCCCCUUCGUUGAACUCCCUCGGGAUGACUGUGUGGUCGCGCCAUGCUUUGGUAUGGGCUUGGUAUUUGUUGAGGGCUUGUAGGGCGAAGACUCGGUCUCCAUCAAUGAGAUCCUUUGAAGUUGGCUCGUCCACGUCGGGGACAGCUGACGGAACUGUUCGCGAAGACCCAUGCUUUAUUUCUUGCGGGGUCAUGGCCUCCGAUCCGUAUAGAAGGCGGAAAGGAGUAAACCCAGUCGCCCUGCACUCAGUCGUGUUUAGUGCCCAGACUGCCUCAGGUAGCAGAUCGGUCCAUCUGCCCUUUUUUCAUCAAGGAGCAUCUUCUUGACAGCUGUGAAGAUUUUCCCAUUGGCGCGUUCCACGACCCCGUUGGACUGCGGAUGAUAGACUGAGGCGAAGGCUAGCUUGGUGCCAAUGGAGAAACAAAAAUCCUUGAAGUCUUGGCUGUCAAACUGUUUGCCGUUGUCAACUGUUAGCUCGGACGGUACUCCGAAGCGGCAAACAAUGUUUUGCCAGAAGAAUUUUUGGGCAGUUUUUGAUGUUAUUGUGGAAACAGCCCUCGCCUCGAUCCAUUUGGUGAAGUACUCGACAGCGACGAAGGCGAACUUAAGGUUCCCCUGAGCGGUGGGCAGGGGGCCGACAAUGUCCAGGCCCCAGCGCUGGAGGGGCCAUGUAUGGGCGAUCAACUUUGUAUACUGCGAGGGGCUGCAUGACCGAGGAGAAAACUUCUGGCAGGCUUCGCAGGACCGUGUGACCCGAUUUGCGGCGCAGAUCAUUGCGGGCCAGUAAAAGCCCUGGCGGAUCACCUUAGCAGCUAGGGCCCUUGGCCCUGCGUGUGAGCCGCACGUGCCACUGUGGACUUCUCGUAGGAUCUGCAUGCCUUCGGCUUCGGUGACGCACUUGAGCAUUGGCUGACUAACCCCUUUUUUGUAGAGUUGGCCUUCAAUCAGUGCAAAGUCUCGGCUUCGAUGUCUGAGGCGCUUGGCCUCACUGAUGUCGGCUGGAUGAUAAUACCCCUGUAGGAACAGGGUUAUUGGUGCCCGCCAGUCUUCGGUCAUGAUAAGGUUGACUAUGCGGUGGCCCUCGCUGUCGUUGGUUAUUUGGAGCCCUUCAGGGCUCCGAACGGCUGGCGUGCCGAUGACAUGAAAGAACACGUCGGAGGGCAGAGUUUCGCCCCUGGCGGCAGCCUUGGCCAAUGCGUCGGCCUCUUCAUUCUUGGCCCGAUCCACAUGCUGCAAGGUGAACCCCUUGAAUUGCCUCUCGAGACUUCGGAUGGCCGAGAGGUAUUGCAUGAGUGCGGGGUCCUUUGCUGCGUAGUCUUUCUCGACCUGGCCGGCAACUAUCUUGGAGUCUGUUUUGAUGAUACAGGUGGUGACUCCGAGGGCCCUCAGCUUGCGGAGGCUGAGGAUGACUGCUUCAUAUUCUGCUAUAUUGUUUGUGCAUCUAUCGUAUUCCAGAGCGAAGCUGAGGCGCGCUGCAUAUCUGUGUUUGACUCUAGCUGGUGAGGUAAUGACUGCAGCGGCGCCUGCCCCCGCAUGGCACCAUGCGUCGUCGCAAUGGAUCGUCCAAACCUUCUCUGUGGACGGGUCUGGUUGUGUUAUUGGCCCAGUCCAGUCGACGACGAAGUCUGCCAGGACUUGUGACUUGAUGGCUGUCCUGGGCUCGAAGCUGAUGUGGUAGCCGGAGAGUUCGACUGCCCACUUGGCAAUCCUCACCGAUGCCUCCGGGUUUCUGAAUAAUUCGCCGAGUCCCCUGUCAGAGGUGACUCGGACCUUGAAUGCUCCAAAGUAGUGGCGCAGUUUGCGCGAAGACAUAACGACUGCGUAGGCAAUCUUCUCCAGCUCUGUCAUGUUGCACUUGGACGGUGUCAGUACCUCGGAGACAUAGUACACGGGGCACUGCCGGACCACGCCCUCGACAGUCUGCUCCUGCACUAGUGCCGCGCUGACCGCAUGUGGCGAAGCCGCGACGUAGAGCAGCAGGGGGACCGAGGGGUCGGGGCUGGUAAGGACGGCCAACUCUGUCAGGUACUGUUUUAAUGAGGCAAAGGCCGCCGCCUGCUCUGGUCCCCAGGCGAAGUCUUUUGCACCACGAAGUGUCUUGAGGAAGGGGAGACUUCGCUCGGCGGACCUGGAGAUGAAUCUGUUGAGAGCGGCCAAUCUGCCUGUCAGGCGCUGGACGUCCCUGACAGACUGCGGAGGCGUCAUGUCUAUGAUGGCCUGAAUCUUGGUUGGGUUGGCCUCGAUGCCGCGGUGUGAUACCAGGUAGCCCAAUAUUUUGCCUUAGCGAACGCCGAAGACGCACUUUUCCGGGUUUAGGCAGAGUUGUGCGUCUCGCAUGUUCGCGAAUGUUUCGGCGUGGUCGGCGAAGUGGUCCUCCUUGCUCUUGCUGGCGACAACAAUGUCGUCCACAUAUGUGAAUAUGUUUCUGCCAACUUGCCCUUCGAGCACUGUUUUGGUAAGCCUGGAGAAGGUGGACCCGGCGUUCUUGAGUCCCUCCAGCAUUCUGAUGAAGCAAUAUGUGCCGAAGGGUGUUAUAAAGCUGGUGCUAGCCUUGUCUUCUUCCUUCAUGUAUAUCUGGUGGUAACCGGAGAAGCAGUCGAGGAGGGACAUGACUUCGCAUCCGGCCGCGCUAUCGACUAUUUUGUCGAUCCGCGGCAACGGGAAAUUGUCCUUUGGGCAAGCUUUAUUGAGACUGGUGAAGUCGAUGCACAUUCGCCACUUCCCGCUCUUUUUCUGCACCAUCACGACAUUGGAGAGCCAUGUGGGGUAAGCCACCGGCUCGAUGAAUUUGGCUUCCAGGAGGCGGUGCACUUCUGCCUUGGCGGCCUCCGUCUUCUCGUCGGACAUCUUGCGAAGCCGCUGCUUUUUCGGCCUUACCGAAGGGUCGAUUCCCAGACUGUGCUCAAUUAUUGAACGGCUAACCCCGACCAGAUCGAGGGCCGACCAGGCGAAGACAUCUUUGUUCUUGGACAGGCAGCAGAGGAGCUUCUCUUCUUCAUGUGAAGUAAGGUCUUCGCUGAUAAUGACUGUCUGCCUGGGCGUGGCCUGGUCGAGGGGGACAGUCUUGGUCCCGUCGUUGCUCUGCAGCUGUGCCUUGUCGUGCUGCUUAUUGGUUGGGCUGGCGGGCGCGGGGACCUCACAUUGGGCCGUGAGGCAGUGCACGUUUCUUUGACCGGGCAUGAAGUCCCGCUCUAUGUUGCGCGCAGUCUGUUGAUUGCCGAAGACUGUGAUGACGCCUAGCGGACCUGGUAUCUUCAUACAUAGGUACAGUCCGUGAAUGGCUGCUUCGAACUUAUUGAUGGAGCCUCGGCCCAUGAUGGCAUUGUAAGGAUAUACCAUGUCCACAAUGUCAAAGGUUAUUUGCUCACUUCGGGCAUUGGGUGCUACACCGAAGGAGAGAGGCAGCUCUAUUUUGCCGACGGGGAAGGUGCCCUUGCCGCCAAAGCCAUACAACGGGUUGUCCGAAGGCUUAAGCAGGCUGUGGCUUAUGCCCAUGCGAUCGAAGGCGUGGAGGAAGAUGAUGUCCGCCUGACUGCCGUUGUCAACUAGGACUUUGUGCAGGUCCUAGCCUGCCACGCUGCAAUUGAUAACCAUGGCGUCGCAGUGGGGGGCGCUGUGCAGGUCGACGUCUCGUGCGUCGAAGGUUAGCGGUAUGUGGGACCACCUUGUCUGCACGACUGGGCCAGUGACGGCGACAUGGUUGAUGUUGCGGUAGUGGUCCCGCUUCUGCCGCUUGGUGUCGAAGUCGGUGCUGGACCCCCCAGUUAUCAUGUGGACGACUCCGCGAUAUGGUUGAUCGACGAAGUCUUCCUGCUUUGGAGCAUGGGGGAUGUUUUGAUGUUGCUGGUGUGGUGGUGGGGGUGGAGGAGGUACGAUUUGUACUUCCUGAUGGUGUUGGUAAGCGUGGUGCGGUGGAUGCGGGCGGGAGCGUGGAUAUAUGGUGGAGGGGGUUGCUGGUAAUUGUGCACGACAAUUCUGGGGUUGUCGGCUGGCUGCGCCCGUGCCAUUCUGUCUCUGGUGGCCUUCGUUUCGGGGCAGUCUUUGGUCUGGUGGGCGCAAUCUUCGCCAUGGAAGAGGCAGUAGAAUCGGCGCGGCGGCUACGCACGCCCUCGGCCCCUACCACGAGUUCCAUUUUCGCGGCCCUGGGGGGGGAUAUUCCUGGCGACGAGGGGGGUCAGCAGCGGGAUGCUGGUUGGCGAUGUUGUGCACUUGCUGCUGAUUGCGGCCGUCUCGACCGGAGUCUGGCUGCGGAGUCCUCGUCCACGUGCGGCUGGACUGUGGGGCAUCUUUGGGUUUCCGCUGUGACUCAACCUUGCGCUGGUGGAGCUCCUCGGAUUUGGCAUAUUUUUCAAAGAGUUGAUAUAGCUCCUGGAGGUUCUUGGGCGGAUCUCUGAUACAGUGGCUGUAGAGGACGCCGGCACGAAGGCCACUGAUGGCGUAGUGGAUAGCUAUCUGAUCAUCAACGGAGGGCAGCUGUGACUUGAGUGUUAAAAAUUUGCGGUAAUACUCCCGCAGAGUCUCCUUUUCCAGCUGCUUGCAAAGCGAGAGCUCGGCCAAGGCGUCGGUGUCUGGGCGGUACCCUUGGAAGUUGAGCAGGAACUUGUCCCUGAGACUUCUCCAGGAAUCAAUGGACAGCGGAGGCAAUCUGGUGAACCAGGUGAGAGCUGGGCCCUCUAGGGCGAUGAUGAAAGACUUCGCCAUUGUGGCGUCGUCCCCUCCGGCGGAUGCAACGGCGACCUGAUAACUCAUUAUGUAUUGCGCCGGGUCGGUGCUGCCAUUGUACUUGGGAUAGGUCCCUGCUCGGAAGUUAGCUGGCCAAGGCGUCACUUGCAGGUGUGGCGCCAGGGGACUUCGUUCGUCGAGAUAGUUGACCCCUUGGAAAGGCGCGGCGUGCGGGAAGGUGUGGUCGCGCUGGGGGAAACGCGGGUCCUCCGGUUGCGCGCGGUGUUGCAGGGGUGGCCCAUGCUGCAGGCCGAGGUGGCCUUCGCGCGUGUCUUCGAGUUGUGCGCGCUGCUGGAGGGGUGGCUCGUGCUGCAGGCCGAGGUGGCCUUCGCGCUGCAUCAGCGCAAUCUCCCGCUCGAGUUCCUGGGCCUUCUGCUCUUCGUCGCGUAUCAUUUGCCGCACUUUGGCUAGUGCGGACACACGCUGGCGCUUGGCCUCCAGUAUCUCCUUCUGCCUCUGGAGGUUGCGGUUCUUGAGGCGCAGGGCGCGCAGCUGUAACUGUUCUUCUGCUGAGACGCCGAGGACUUCACCGUCCUCGGUGAGGUCCGCGCCCCCCGGUGGUGCGAAGCCUGAGGGUGGCUGCGGUUGUCCCUCAGGGCCGCAGGUGCGGAGAGCGUCGUCUUCGCAGGUGCGAGGAACAUCGUCUUCAGUGGCCUCUUGGUGGGUGGAUUGGGUGAGGGCGAGGGCCUUGCCCUUUCUUGCGGCGAGCAGUGCUGCCUUCGCAGCCUCGUCAGCCUUCGGGUUAGCUCUCUUGGGUGCCAUCGCGGGUGGUUUUCUCGUAGCACGAACGGUGGGCGCCAAAUGUUGGAACUUGCUCUCAGCUGCAAGGGGAUCCAACAAGGGUGAACAGUGACGUUAACAGGGUGCUCGCGCUAGAUGGCGAUAGCUCCGUUAAUCUGGCCUCUCACGGGCACUGUGCAGGGGUAUGUAUAGGUACCUGAGCGCGCAGCGCCUUGAGCUAAGGAUGCAUGUGCCCUCAGCUACCUAGGUUAUCCCCAGAAUAUUCCCAUAAAGCGGGGUUACAGACCGUAAUUACAGGGAUGCCUUUACAAAUUAGGCCCGUAACGCACGACGGCCACGCGGGGCCCGCUACGAUGGGCCGGAUCGCACGUGGGCCUCUGAGCUGGACGUGGCCGCACUGUGGGAUGCCCUUCGUCGCCGGUCUUCGUCUGGUGCGGAACAAGCGAAGGGUGUCCCUGCCUGUUUUGUUUCUGUUAGCUCAGCUGCUGCAGCGAAGGCUUCGAGCGAAGGGUGGCGCCUUUGCCUUCGCCCCAACAAGCUCUACCUAGAUUGAUACCCUAAACCCUAAACACAAUAUGUUUUUUUUACGACGAAGGUAGUAAUUUUAAUGUUUGACCUGAUGUAGUCUAGAAAAAAAAUGCUUUUUUUAUCAGAGUAAUAAGUAGCUGAGAGGGAUACUAGUAGCUAGAUGCAUCAAAUUAAACCUGAGCGCGUUGGGGCCGGACGGCAUAGAUUUUACAUUGAAGCUCAAAAGUAGCAUCAUACAUUACAUUCGACGAAAUCGGAACCCUAUACAGCAAAGGUUCGAUAGCGGCGAGCACGCACGCAACGCAACGCAGCGCAGCACCAGGGAUGAUGGAUAGGAUCUUAACCGCUUCACUUCUCGAAGUAGUCCUCGGUCCUGCCCUUGAAUCCGAUCUGGCCGAAGGUGAGCACGAUGAACAGGCCCAGGUGCCACGUCACUAGCCACAGCCUGCAACGUACCAUGCCACCACACCAGUUCGUGUUCGUCAGUGAGCUUUACGUACUUGUCAUGCCGAACUAGCUCGCGAAGGCCGGCAGGACGCGUGCCGGAUAUGCAUGCAUGCCCGGAUCGAGAGGUACGUACACGGUACACUAUACUCACCAGAACUGGGAGGUGACGGGCGGGGGCGUGGGGAAGUGGGCCAGCUCCUGGCCGAUGCUGGAGAAGAAGAGCCCCGUGAGGCUGUUGCCGUUGAUGGCCGGGACGCUGGACGGCCCCAUCCAGCCGAUGAGCCCGAAGCCGAUGACGCUCAGGUCCCUCCGCAGCCAGUCCCGGGGAAACCUGGCGAUCGAGCGCGUACGGAGGAUCAGCAGCGACUAGUAUAAUAUAUAUACAAGUAUA